GGGGGAAAGGACACCGAAGGCCUGCUGGUGUAAUAAAGGAUAAUUAAUGUUCAAGUCAGAUAAGCUCGGAGCUUGAGCACGGAACAGCACUUGGCUGCGGGAUAACAAAUUUAACAGCUCCCUAGUGGAAGAUGAAAUGAAGAGCCCAUACAGCCGACUGAACUCUACCCACUUGUCAGCUCUCAUCUUGACAGCGCAAUAAAGAAGACAUGCUGCAGAUCUAUUUAAAAUUGGGGUGGAUUACAGGGAAGCAUGGCUCCCUUUUGCCUUCUGAGACAAUGUUAUAGAGCCACAAGCCUCAGUGCCCCCAUGGACCCUGUCCAGGAGUUGGUGCACAGUCUCUGCGCUGAUAGGACUAGAAUGUCCUGAAUCCAUGGCUGGACUUGGUGACAUGCAGGCACUGAAAGUUCAUUUCCGUCUUUCCUGGUCUGGAAGGUCGGGUGGGGAUCCAGCACCUCAGUGUCAAUUCAUCUUUCAGCGUAGGCCACUGAGCACUGGCUUAGCCUGCAAAGUCACCCUUCACCUAAACCUGACUGCCGAGUCUCAUGCUACCUUCCCGAGAAACCUUAGGAAGAAAGUCCCAGGGACAAAAACACACAAAGGCAAGGACUCCAAAGACAGACCUUUUCUGCAGCACUGGCUCCAAUGUCGUGGGUCUUGAUAAAGAAGAAGUGAAGGAUAUGAAGAAGUGAAGGAUGAGUACUCAGCCUUGAAUGGAACUUCUGUUUCAACACCCUCUGUCCAAACACCAUACACACCAUGGCCUUGGGAACAGCAGUAAGAGCCAGAGGAUUGGGGGGAGUGCUGUGAAAUACUGUGUCCUGGUUGUCACACUCACAAUACCUGUGGUUAUCUGCUCAAGAUCUAUUCAAGACCAAGCCAGCCAGAAUCCUGGCAUUGACUUGUUAGGUUGUCUCCAGGCUCCACCCCUUACUGAGGAGCUAUUGGUUGUUUCUGGUGGAGGGAGAAACAUUCUUUUGUGGCUGUGUAGCCACUGAUUGGAUCCUCAUGCUCCCGUGGAUGACCCACUCUAAUGUACUUAUAAGCGCUACUAAUUAGACUUAGUGGGUUAGUAGAUCAUCUUCAGAGUUGGGAGGAGGGCAUGAGGGAAGGACACAGGGAGCUGUAGGGGAAACCGGAGCUAAGUAUAACUAUAUGUCAUUGUACAAAUGUGUCAAAUUCUCAAGAAUAAACAAAAAUGUUUUAAA